GAGAAGAACGUAGCGAAAUGCGAUAAGUAAUGUGAAUUGCAGAAUUCAGUGAAUCAUCGAAUCUUUGAACGCACAUUGCGCCCGUCAGUAUUCUGGCGGGCAUGCCUGUUCGAGCGUCAUUACGCCCCUCAAGUCCCCUGUGGACUUGGUGUUGGGGAUCGGCGAGGCUGGUUUUCCAGCACAGCCGUCCCUUAAAUUAAUUGGCGGUCUCGCCGUGGCCCUCCUCUGCGCAGUAGUAAAACACUCGCAACAGGAGCCCGGCGCGGUCCACUGCCGUAAAACCCCCCAACUUUUUAUAGUUGACCUCGAAUCAGGUAGGACUACCCGCUGAACUUAAGCAUAUCAAUAAGCGGAGGA
rnacentral:misc_RNA from 1 species